ensembl:lncRNA
AGAAAACCCAUGAAAAGCCAUGAAAGGACAGAACAGACACAUCUAGUCCAACCUGGAGGCUCAAGAAAGAGUAAAAUGAAUUCUCUUGAGAAGUCUGGGAAGAAUAAGCAAUGAAAGAUAGAAUUUCCAUGGUCCUCAGAAAGUAAUAUCAUCCAGGCGAAGUAAUAUUUAUUACCCAACCAUCAUUUCUUCUGGAACACAUAUCAAAUAAGCUGUCCUGGGGGAGACAUGAGGCUGUAGGAAAAAGCAAAGAAAAAUCAAAUCGAUUUCUUAGACUGGGACAUGGAGACCACUUUCAGAGGCUUCAGAAGGUGAGAACAAAGCACUGACUUGUCCUCAGGAAAAACCAUAAGGUUGAUGGAUCCGAAUGACGCCUGUACAACUAAAGCCAGAGCAGGAAGGAAGUCCCUGGAAAGAGAAAUUUUAUUACUUCCUCACUUCAUAUUGAAAAAAUUGAGAAAGUACAACUUAUCUCAGCAGGCGCAGAAUAAUUGCCAAUUCUCCUCAGAUAGUAAAACCCAACUUAUUCAUCAAAAACAAGUAAGGCCAGGGCCAGCCUGGUGGUGUAGCAGGUUUUGCCUUUUGCCUUUGGAGGUGGUUCAAAUGGAAACAGCUGUAAUCAAUUAAGAUGCGGUGAUUUCAGAUAACCCACUCUCUUUCUUUACAUGGUGACUGGUUAUCCAACCAGGGGCUGGUGAUAAAAGUGUGCUUAAGAGAAAUAAAUUAGUAGCGGUAGAUUUGUCUGGAUAAGUUGAAGCCGGUAUCAGUCAUACCUGAUUUUGACUGCAUCUCAGCCAUAGGAAUAAAAAAUGAAGUUUUAUGAUAAAAUCAGUCAAUACACUUUUUUUCAUGAAAUAAACUAAAAAGUUACUGACAACACCCAAUCACUUGUCACAUUAGCCCAGAACCAUUUACUAUGAUACUUUUCACUAUAGGAAUGAUUGAUAGAAAAUCUCUAUCAUACACAAUAAUGUUCCAGACCUAGCAAUCCUUUUACAGCCUGUCAUUGUCCCCAGGAUCCUUUCCAAAUUUUUUUUAACAGGACUUACAAUGCUCUUUGUGACAAGAUGUAAUUGAAAGCGCUCAAGCUGUAAAGUCCGAUAGAUAGUGUUAUAAAUCCCAGUUCGUCUUUGCCAGUUGUGUGCUCUCAGGCAAAUUCCAUAAUGUGGAAUAGACUUGAACAUACUUCCCUGUUUUAAAGAUAGGAAUACUGGUACUUAUCUCAUAGAACUGUUUUGAGGAUUCAAGAGAUUGUACAUAAAGAGCCUAACAUCUCCCAACACAUAAUAGGUCUAACAAAAAUGUAGCUUUCCUUUUCUUUUUUAUUCCCCCUCAUCAAUAUAACAGCACAUGAGAAUGUUCAUAUUUGCUUCUGGUUUCUAAAUAUCGUGAUGUGAUUAUGGCUUGGAUUUGACUAAAACUAUGCUUACCUUCUGAAAAGGACCUGGUACCUUCAAAUACAAUUUCGGCCUUUCAGAGAUAGGUUGAAAUAACAAGGACUUUGGAGAAAUGCAACAAGACUGAACAACUGAUACAAAAACUUUUAUUAUUUUUUGAGUCUUUAAAGCACAAAACUCAUUUUUGAUGCAUUCUUUAAAAUCCACCACCAUAUUACACAUUUGUCCAUUGGCAUGUGAAAACAUUCUUCUGUCUCACCCCUUAGUUUCUGGGACCAUCAAAAAAUAAAAUAGAAUCUUAAAAAGCAAAGAGAAAAACAUAGUCAAAGACUGAUUUUCCUUCCUAUUUCAUUCAAGAAAGAAUUACUGAGUCCUGACUCAAUGCCAUGCGCUACUCAGGGAUGUGGGGAGGCAUCAAUGACCUCAGGGAGCUUACGUUCUAGUUGGGGAAGACAAACAUAAAUAACAAGUAAAUAUUAGUAUAUAACACAUUAAAAGGUGACAUAUGAAGACUAGCCUGGUGGUGUGGUGGUUAAGUUUGUGCACUCUGCUUCAGCAGCCCAGGGUUCAUGGGUUUGGAUCCCGGGCAUGGACCUACACACUGCUCAUCAAGCCAUGCUGUGCUGGCAGCAUCCCACAUACAAAAUACAGCUAACACAGAUGUUAGCUCAGGGCCAGUCUUCCUCAACAACAACAAAAGGUGACGAUACGAAAAGAAAACAAAGCAAGACAAGGAAGAUUAGAAGUGUAUGGACAAGGGGGAAGUGUAAUUUUAAAUAAAGUGGUCAAGGUAGGUAUCCAUGAGCAAAGAUUUGAAGGACUUGAGGAGAGAGCCAUGGAGAUUUUUGGGAGCAGGGCCAACUUAUCCAGUAGGCACAGCAGGCAUAGUGCUGAGGGACCACCAGACUUUUGGAAGCCUACAAAAAUAUUUGACUUGUUGUUAAAAUCAGAAGAAAAAAAAUGAACUCAAAGUUGAAGAAAAUGUUUAAAUUUUUUUGUUUUGAGGAAGAUUAGCCCUGAGCUAACAUCUGCCACCAAUCCUCCUCAUUUUUGCUGAGGAAGACUGGCUCUGAGCUAACAUCCGUACCCAUCUUCCUCUACUUUAUAUGUGGGACGCCUGCCACAGCAUGGUGCCUAGGUCCACAGCCAGGAUCCGAAUCAGCAAACCCCUAGCCACCAAAGCAGAACGUGUGAACUUAACCACUGUGCCACCAGGUCAGCCCCAAAAUAUUUAAAUUUUUAACACAAACUGG